rnacentral:rRNA from 1 species
UACGUAGGGUGCAAGCGUUGUCCGGAAUUAUUGGGCGUAAAGAGCUCGCAGGCGGUUCGUCGCGUCGGCUGUGAAAUCCCGAGGCUCAACCUCGGGUCUGCAGUCGAUACGGGCGGACUGGAGUACUGCAGGGGAGACUGGAAUUCCUGGUGUAGCGGUGAAAUGCGCAGAUAUCAGGAGGAACACCGGUGGCGAAGGCGGGUCUCUGGGCAGUUACUGACGCUGAGGAGCGAAAGCGUGGGGAGCGAACAGG